rnacentral:rRNA from 1 species
UACGUAGGUGGCGAGCGUUGUCCGGAUUUAUUGGGCGUAAAGCGCGCGCAGGUGGUCCGUUAAGUCCUGUGUGAAAUCUCCCGGCUCACCCGGGAGGGGGCGCGGGAUACUGGGGGACUGGAGGCAGGCAGAGGCCGGUGGAAUUCCCGGUGUAGUGGUGAAAUGCGUAGAGAUCGGGAGGAGCACCAGUGGCGAAAGCGGCCGGCUGGGCCUGUUCUGACGCUGAGGCGCGAAAGCGUGGGGAGCGAACCGG